rnacentral:tRNA from 1 species
GGCAUAUAGCUCAGUAGGUAGAGAGCUUGCCUUGCAUGCACAAGGCCCUGGGUUCAAUCCCCAGCAUCCA